rnacentral:rRNA from 1 species
AACGAACGCUGGCGGCAUGCCUAACACAUGCAAGUCGAACGAGACCUUCGGGCCUAGUGGCGCACGGGUGCGUAACGCGGGGGAACCUGCCCUUAGGUUCGGAAUAACUCCCCGAAAGGGGUGCUAAUACCGGAUAAUGUCUUCGGACCAAAGAUUUAUCGCCUUUGGAUGGGCCCGCGUUGGAUUAGCUAGUUGGUAGGGUAAAAGCCUUCCAAGGCGACGAUCCAUAGCUGGUCUGAGAGGAUGAUCAGCCACACUGGGACUGAGACACGGCCCAGACUCCUACGGGAGGCAGCAGUGGGGAAUAUUGGACAAUGGGCGAAAGCCUGAUCCAGCAAUGCCGCGUGAGUGAUGAAGGCCUUAGGGUUGUAAAGCUCUUUUACCCGGGAUGAUAAUGACAGUACCGGGAGAAUAAGCUCCGGCUAACUCCGUG